GAUGAACGCUAGCGAUAGGCCUAACACAUGCAAGUCGAGGGGCAGCACAUGAGUAGUCAAUACGAUGGUGGCGACCGGCGCACGGGUGAGUAACACGUAUGCAACCUACCUCUAACAGGGGGAUAACCCGUUGAAAGACGGACUAAUACCCCAUAAUACAGGGGCUCCGCAUGGAGAUAUUUGUUAAAGAUUUUAUCGGUUAGAGAUGGGCAUGCGUUCCAUUAGCUAGUUGGUGAGGUAACGGCUCACCAAGGCGACGAUGGAUAGGGGAACUGAGAGGUUUAUCCCCCACACUGGAACUGAGACACGGUCCAGACUCCUACGGGAGGCAGCAGUGAGGAAUAUUGGUCAAUGGAGGCAACUCUGAACCAGCCAAGUCGCGUGAAGGAUGAAGGUCUUAUGGAUUGUAAACUUCUUUUGCAGGGGAAUAAAUAGCGGUACGUGUACCGUUUUGCAUGUACCCUGCGAAUAAGGAUCGGCUAACUCCGUG
rnacentral:rRNA from 1 species